rnacentral:rRNA from 1 species
CUUUUCAUUUCCAUUAGCGGAGGAAAAGAAACCAACAGGGAUUGCCUCAGUAACGGCGAGUGAAGCGGCAAAAGCUCAAAUUUGAAAUCUAGUCCCUUCGGUGCUCGAGUUGUAAUNGGAAGGUAGUUUUCUGGUGCUGGCCCUUGUCUCNGUUCCUUGGGAGGACGUCAUAGAGGGUGAGAAUCCCGUCUGAUGGGGUGUUCAGUCUG